AUUGAAAUAAAUAUUUGUUUAGAUGUAGGAGAUUCUGCUUAAACUUUAUUCGUGAAAAUACUUGAAUGUACUAUGUAGAUAUUAAAUAUAUAUACUGCAUUGUUUCAAUUUUGCGAUUCCGUAAUUCUCUUUUUUUGCGUUUGUGUUUAAUCACUGCUUCUUAACGCAUGUCAAAUAGGAAUCAAGAGGGGUACAGUCAUGGUAUACUAAUAAUUAGUAUAUAAUUAAAACAAAUAAAAUUGUGAAUUAUGAUCUUCUAUCUCAGUCUAUCUCAUUUAAUAAAUAAGCAGGUUGUUUGUAUUACUUUAAAACUAAAUCUUCUGUUUAAUGUAUCUCCCCUAAUUGUUACUUAAAAUAAUUAAACUAGCAAUGGACCAUGAAACAGGAGAGACAUUAACAGAAAUAUUAUAUCCAAUGCUUGAUAAUGGAGAAA